CACUCUUCUGGCCCAGCAGGACCUCCUCUGCUCUUCUGCCUCUCUCUCCCCAUGGCGUGUCCUGACACCACCCCUCCGUCUAAAGUGGUUGCCCCCAUCCCUGGACUUCAGCCAGUGACUGAAGGGCUGCUUUCCGGCUGCCCCACCUCCUGCCCACACCUGGACGCCACUGCGCUCAUUUUUACAGACAACGCGGGCACCGCUCAGAGGGCCUCAUACACCUCACCCCAUCACCCCUCCAGGAGCACUAGAUGCUCCUGUGACCCACUCAGACCUACGCCGCAUCCCUAAGAAACAGGCCAGUGGCCAAAACCCCCAGCGACGGAUUGCAGCCCUGAUUGCCUAAGAACACCAGGGAGGGCCCAAUUCUUCAGGCUAAAGGCGCCCCCCCGCCCUGCAAUUGCAUCUCUGCCCCUCAGCCCCCAGGUCCUUCUCCCCUGCCCCCAGCUGUGCCUCUCCAGAGGGGAGAGGGAGACCCACCCUCACAGUCUGCGGCUUCAAGGCCAAGGGCAGGGUGAGUAUGGUGCUGCUGCAGGAGUGCGGACACCAGGUUGGGGCACGGGGGGCUCAGCACCUCCUCACUCCCAGAACUCUAAGGAGCCCCCGAGGGUUCCAUCUGGUGUGCCCCCCACACACAGUCCGCCCACAUUCCCAAAGCCAGGCCGCAAGGCCCAGUGUUUUCUUGCCUCUUCAGCUACAGAAACUUUCUUCGAGCAAACGAUGCGCAGCGCCCAAUAUAUGAAACCCUCACAGCUGAGCUGCUCUCCACCCCAGCGUGCCUAGUCUGUGCAGAACCAAGCAGAAAACCACCCAUCCGUCUAGAACUUCACUGGGCAACAGAGGUAACAGGGGAGGCUGAGAAGG
rnacentral:lncRNA from 1 species